AUAAUACUCCCUCCGUUCGGAAUUACUUGUCGUAGAAAUGGAUGUAUCUAGAUGUAUUUUAGUUCUAGAUACAUCCAUUUCCGAGACAAGUAAUUCCGAACGGAGGGAGUAGUAU
rnacentral:pre_miRNA from 1 species